AAGGGAAUCUACCAUAUGACCAGA
rnacentral:snRNA from 1 species